UGUCCAGACUCCUACGGGAGGCAGCAGUGAGGAAUAUUGGUCAAUGGCCGGAAGGCUGAACCAGCCAAGUCGCGUGAGGGAAUAAGGCCCUAUGGGUCGUAAACCUCUUUUGUCAGGGAGCAAAGGCGUCCACGUGUGGACGAGGGGAGAGUACCUGAAGAAAAAGCAUCGGCUAACUCCGUGCCAGCAGCCGCGGUAAUACGGAGGAUGCGAGCGUUAUCCGGAUUUAUUGGGUUUAAAGGGUGCGUAGGCGGAGUGUCAAGUCAGCGGUAAAAAUUCGGGGCUCAACCCCGUCCGGCCGUUGAAACUGGGGGCCUUGAGUGGGCGAGAAGAAGGCGGAAUGCGUGGUGUAGCGGUGAAAUGCAUAGAUAUCACGCAGAACCCCGAUUGCGAAGGCAGCCUUCCGGCGCCCUACUGACGCUGAGGCACGAAAGUGCGGGGAUCGAACAGGAUUAGAUACCCGCGUAAC
rnacentral:rRNA from 1 species